rnacentral:lncRNA from 1 species
GGUUGGAAAUGCAUAGCUUGUUGAAAUUCAGAUGACACCCUACUUGCCCCCAGAUUAUGUGGAUCGAAAUGAGUUACAUGCAUAUCUUCAGGCUGAGCUAUAAGUGUUGCUUUUCCGGAUUUAUCUCUCAAGGCCUGCUCGAGUAGACUAGUAAGCCUUGCAACUUCUUCUUUAAGAUUGUCCAACUCUUUUUGAUGUUAGGCUUCCAACUGGACUCUUUCUUCGUUUUCCAUUUUUCUCUUUCUCGAACGAGUGUUAUAAAUGGGUUUCAAUGGGGAACCUAUAUUUCAACCUGCUAAAUGUAAAUCAUGCAAUUAUGCAAAAAAUACUGAAGCAAUAAAAAAAAUGCAUAUGAAAUGUAGACUCGACCUUCACGGGAUGACAACCUAAUAGGAAGAUCCUAAUUGUUGAGUGCAUCAAAGGGUUGGUUCUUAUCUAGUUUAAAAAGGGUCUCUUGCAUGCUUAGUGAUCGUCCAUGAAAGGUCGAUAUGAGGCUUACAAGUAGUGUGAAAAUAGAGGCCCUGAGUAAUAUCAGUUUGGCAAAUCAACCAUUUCCAAGUAAACAAUCAAGCGGGAGUUGGAUGGUUUCACGUGUCUUACCCAGGCUAAAGCCGUUGGGGUAUCGUUACUUUCCCGCCUAUCCUAGAUUUUCAGGUGUGUGCUCUUAACAUGAUGUAUGACAAUAUAAACAUGGAUGGAUGCUAAAACAGUAAAUUCAGGAAAAAUAAACAAAUAAACACAAUAUAACAAACAUUAUAGCAAUUGAUAAACAAAAGGCAAAGCUUAGUCCAUUAAUCCCCAGUGGAGUCGCCAUUCUGUCGCACCCGACAUCGCGACGACCUUAAAAAUUUUUCAAUGGAAAAAAAUGGAUUUCUGGCAUCCUGUUCUUUAAUGGGGAUAUUUUUUGUUUAAGGAGUCGCCACCUAGUAUUAUGGUUACUAGGAACCCUGACUGGUCAGCAGAGAUUCUAUGGUACGGGACUGGUUACGCAAAAAGAAAGAUAUUAUCACCCCUUAAACGUCCUGCUUGAGGCAGGCUGCAUUGCUGGUUUUGUCAUAAAUUGCUAACAUUUCGUUGGUUUAUGCUAUGAUGGUUUGCGUGUAAUAUUCCUGACUCUGGCGCCAGUGAAUAUUUAACUACAAAUAUUUCCAACUCUGGCGUUGAUAAAUAGUACGUAGCUAUAAAAUAAAUUUAAAUCCGUAUUUUUUAUUCCUGACUCUGGCGUCAGUGAAUAAACAAAUCAAACAAAUUUAUUUUUUACGCAUACAUAUUUUUUAUGUAACUAAAUAAAAGUAAAAUGCAAUAAAAUAAAUUUACAUCAGUAUCUUUAUUCCUGACUCUGACGUCAGUGAAUAAACCAAUAAAUUUAUUUUAUUUUAUUUUAUUUUUUCAUGCAUAUUUUUUAUUUUUAUGUAAUUUAAAUAAAAUACAAUGAAAUAAAUUUGAAUCAAUAUUUUUAUUCUGACUCUGGCGUCAAUGAAUAAAAACAAUAAAUUCAUAUUUAUUUUUUUUAUUUAUACAUAGACACAUUUUUGUUUUUUUAUUUAUUUUUUAUUUUUUUUUGGGCCCAGCUCAGCCCAUAUAGCCCAGCCAGCCCGGCCUGGCCACUGGCCCGAGCCAGUGGCCCGGCUGGGCUGAGCUGCACUGUGCAAGUGAAUUAAAAUUCACUUGCACAGUGUAAAAGACGCUUAAUUGAAAAGGAUAGCUUGCUUACCUGGUCUGCGAGGCGAUGGAGACGGUGGCGAAGCUCUGGCUGGCUGACUACCUCCUCUACUCUUCUCCUUCUUCUGCUUUCCUUUGUUUCCUUUUGAUUCUGUGCCCGUAUACUUUAGUUUUCCCGCAGCUCCUGAGAUGACGAAGGAAACAAUAAUGAAGAUGCCGGUUUACUGUGAUGUUCUUUGAAUGAAUACUGGUCUUUCCUUUGUUUGCAGGGACGAAAACGGUUUCAAAGAUAAUUCUCGUCACUGUGUGUGUGUGCUGCCCUCUUUCUCCCUUGCUCUCUGCGUUUUUAUUUAUGCGCGUCUCUCUGUUUUUCCCCUGUUUCCCCUGCUUUUCUUCUGUUUCUGGUUACUGGUCUCUCCCCCGUUUUAUUUUAUUUUUUUUGUGUUAUGGGUUGUUCUUCACGGGUUUUUUUCUGGGUUUUCUUCUCUGUUUUCCCCUCUGAUCUUCCUCCCCUCCUAUCUGGGUAUAUUUUUUUCUGUGUUUAUGCUCUGUUUUGCUCUGCUUGUUUCCUCACUGAUUUUCG